CAGCCUUAUCCAUCCCUUAUAAAACUUUCUCAGCUUUUUACCUUCCAGUUUCAUUAGCCAUGGAUGAUCCUUGAGUACAACUAGUAAUAAUGAGGAGUUCCUAAAAUAAUAAUUCUCAUUCUGUCAUUCUUUUUUUUACUGGCUAUAUUAUUUCUGUAAAGAGAAACCUGUUUUAAUAACUAUGGAGUUAUUCUAAAGGUCAGACUGCUUUAAAAUGCAAGAUAAAUGGUUUCUUCUUUCCCUUUAAAAUUUCGAAUAGUAUGUUGGCUCCUGAGCAUUCCUCUAAAGAUUUGGUUCUUGAUUUGAAGAAAAGUUAAGUAUAAAAAGACAUCCAUGAAAUUAUAGAAGAAUUUUGAACUUAUUAGAUAUUUGAUGAUAUCAAGGAAUAACUAUGAAUUUCAGAUAUGAUAUGAGUAUUCUAGUGGGUUAAAAAUAUUCCUUGGCUUUUAGAGAUAUAAGCUAAAAUGUUUACAGAAGAAAUCAUGUAAUGUUUCUACGCAUCCUUCAAUGGGUUAGGGAUAGGUUAGGGUUAGGGUGACCCUGACAGCCGAGGGAGAGUGUGGACAGGAGGGGAAGGUUCACCAGAAAUUGAUCUUUUUAGUGUGCUGUCACUGUCACUCUUAAAAUGCCACUGAUGCUGACCCCAUUCUUGGGAAACAGUAAGUGACUGUGACUGUCCAGAGUGAGGUAAUUAUGAUGCCCUUGUGUCCCUGCAGUGCCAUCAUAGAACACACCAACAGGGUGAUCUUCCUGGAGGAUGACGACAUCGCCACAGUGGCUGAUGGGAAACUCUCCAUUCACCGAGUCAAAUGCUCGGCUAGUGAUGACCCAUCUCGAGCCAUCCAGACCUUGCAAGUGGAACUGCAGCAAAUCAUGAAAGGUAACUUCAGUGCAUUUAUGCAGAAGGAGAUCUUUGAACAGCCAGAAUCCGUUUUCAAUACCAUGAGAGGCCGAGUGAACUUUGAGACCAACACAGAGCUCCUGGGUGGCUUAAAGGACCACUUGAAGGAGAUUCGACGAUGCCGAAGGCUCAUCCUGAUUGGCUGUGGCACCAGCUACCACGCCGCUGUGGCUGUAAGUGUGCCACACUGGGUCCGGGGCAGUGCUGGGAUUAGCGGCCUGAGUGCUGUUGCACACUGGCCUCUGAAUGCAGCACAGUGCUCACACCCAUAGCCACAAGCCAGCCUGGAAGUGGCACCAACAUUUCCUCUGCAAGCCUCUCCCACUGGGACAGCAAGGCACUGGUGCACCUGGCGGGGGGUGACUGAGGGGCAGGGGCCUGGUCGUGGUAAUGACUCUCCGCCUCUCUUUGGGCCCUUGCCCUGGCUCCAGCAAAGCAUGCAGAAGAGGGGCUCUCUGUGAGUGACGCUUUCACAGGGAGCGCAUCUCUCAGGUAUCCGGUAGGGGACCUUUCUCAGCACAUGGUAUGCAGACAAGCUGUGAUGCCUUUACAGUGCCCGCCACCAGGUCCUGCCCUGUGCUCUCUGCCUGUA
rnacentral:lncRNA from 1 species